rnacentral:rRNA from 1 species
GACGAACGCUGGCGGCGUGCUUAACACAUGCAAGUCGAACGGUAAGGCCCUUCGGGGUACACGAGAGGCGAACGGGUGAGUAACACGCGGGUGAUCUGCCCUGCACUUCGGGAUAAGCCUGGGAAACUGGGUCUACUACCGGAUAGGACCCUGGGAUGCAUGUUCUGGGGUGGACAGCUUUUGCGGUGUGGGAUGGGCCCGCGGCCUAGCAGCUUGUUGGUGGGGUGAUGGCCUACCAAGGCGACGACGGGUAGCCGGCCUGAGAGGGUGACCGGCCACACUGGGACUGGGAUACGGCCCAGACUCCUACGGGAGGCAGCAGUGGGGAAUAUUGCACAAUGGGCGCAAGCCUGAUGCAGCGACGCCGCGUGAGGGAUGACGGCCUUCGGGUUGUAAACCUCUUUCAGCACCGACGAAGCGCAAGUGACGGUAGGUGCAGAAGAAGGACCGGCCAACUACGUGCCAGCAGCCGCCGUAA